GAUGAACGCUAGCGACAGGCUUAACACAUGCAAGUCGAGGGGCAUCGGGGAGUAGCAAUACUCUGCCGGCGACCGGCGCACGGGUGCGUAACGCGUAUGCAACUUACCUUACAGAGGGGGAUAACCCGUUGAAAGACGGACUAACACCGCAUAUUCUUAUAUUAUCGCAUGAUAGAGUAAGGAAAUAUUUAUAGCUGUAAGAUAGGCAUGCGUCCCAUUAGCUAGUUGGUAGGGGUAACGGCUCACCAAGGCAACGAUGGGUAGGGGAACUGAGAGGUUUAUCCCCCACACUGGUACUGAGACACGGACCAGACUCCUACGGGAGGCAGCAGUGAGGAAUAUUGGUCAAUGGGCGAGAGCCUGAACCAGCCAAGUCGCGUGAAGGAUGAAGGUCUUAUGGAUUGUAAACUUCUUUUGCGGGAGAAUAACGGGCGCUACGAGUAGUGUUAUGAAUGUAUCCCAGCGAAUAAGCAUCGGCUAACUCCGUGCCAGCAGCCGCGGUAAUACGGAGGAUGCGAGCGUUAUCCGGAUUUAUUGGGUUUAAAGGGUGCGUAGGCGGCUUUUUAAGUCAGCGGUGAAAGGUUCGGGCUCAACCCGGACAUUGCCGUUGAAACUGGGGAGCUUGAGUAUGGAUGAGGUAGGCGGAAUGCGUGGUGUAGCGGUGAAAUGCAUAGAUAUCACGCAGAACUCCGAUUGCGAAGGCAGCUUACUAAGGCAUUACUGACGCUGAAGCGCGAAAGCGUGGGUAUCAAACAGG
rnacentral:rRNA from 1 species